ensembl:lncRNA
CCCUGCUGAACUCAGCAGCAGUCUGGCCGUGUUCUGUGUGCAUCACAUUUCCUCUAACCAUGAAGCACUGCUUGCUUCCUUGAGACUCCUUGUUCUUAACAGCUUAACAUCUGUCUGAUGAGAGACGUCUGGCCUUGGGGAACAAUCCUGCUACCUGUCUCAGCUGUCUUACCAAUUUCUGAGUGUUCUUAGCAUUCACCCUGGAUAUACCCAUGUUGUAAUUUAACCUGAUGGGAUCAACCAGAGUAACAUUAGGACAGAUGUGCUGUACCAAGACAGACUUGCACUGUGAUUUGGCUGAUGCUGAUUUUGCAGCAGAGUUCCAUGGGAUCCUAAAGAACCUGCCCUCAGUGUGUCACAAGAACUGCAAAUGGUUGCUGAUUGAGAACUGGAACAGCAAAGGUGACCAUCAUAACCUGCGGAUCUUUUGAAAAUGUUUAACUGCACAGAAAUCUGAUAUCUUAAAGGAGAAAGUGAAAAGGGGACCUUUUUCUUCUUGAUACUCUGAAGAACGUAACAUCCUGCAGCCUGCAGGUGGACGAGGGUCACCACCAGCCCUGGAAUCUCACUUGGUGCUGUCAGUUGGAUCCUGUGCUCUGCUCCCUCUGCUUGAGAAAAGCUUCGUUUUGCCUGUGUCUUAAUUAGUUGGCAUAAUAUUGUUAGCUAACAUUUGGAUCUUGGAAGAGUCUGCUCAAGCUGAAAGAAUUUCCUUCCUGUCUAAUUGACCUUGAGACUGGAAGGAAGGUUUGCUGUUUUCUUUUUCUUUCCUGGCUGCAGCAAGUCACUGAAAUAAAGUGCUUUAUUUCUU